rnacentral:snoRNA from 1 species
UUUUGAAAGUAAAAGUUUUACUUGAAAGUUGAAUCCGUUACUCCAUCCAUCUUGUCUUUCUCCAUUUUUAUCAAAAAAGCGUCCACGAAAUCAUCUCCUUCUUCGCCUAUUAUA